rnacentral:siRNA from 1 species
UAAGUUGACUGAUGAUGGGCAGA